GAUCCUGGCUCAGGAUGAACGCUAGCUACAGGCUUAACACAUGCAAGUCGAGGGGCAGCAUGGUCUUAGCUCGCUAAGGCCGAUGGCGACCGGCGCACGGGUGAGUAACACGUAUCCAACCUGCCGUCUACUCUUGGACAGCCUUCUGAAAGGAAGAUUAAUACAAGAUGGCAUCAUGAGUUCACAUGUUCACAUGAUUAAAGGUAUUUCGGUAGACGAUGGGG
rnacentral:rRNA from 1 species